rnacentral:lncRNA from 1 species
ACUUGUAGAAAACUUAAGUCUUUUGCCCUGUUCUGUCAAGAAAGAUUCAACAGUUGAUCUUUAUACUUGUUUCUGUAAUGUCAACUAGACCAUUCAAAUGCACAGAGCUUAAAGUAACUCAAAACUCAACAAUGACUAUCUAGUUUCUCAGCUCAUCAUAUUAGUAAUUACAUGUCUUAGAAUAUUUUUAGAAAACUUGAAAGCUAUAAGAAAAAGAGGAGACUGCAGCAGAGACAGAGAGUUUUAAGCUUGAUGAUCAACGAAGAGGUCUGGAUAAAUCGCAAUUGUAUCGCCGUCAGCAAUACCGUUCCCCAAGAAUGACGUAUUCUCCCUCAAUGGUUUCUCAUUGUGAACAAAGAAAUAUCCUUCGGAAGGAAGAUUGAACUGACCCUUGGCUUUCAUAUCAUCCAGCUCUUUCCUCAGU